CGUAGACUUGUGUUUGCACCAUCCGAUAUGCACGAACCGGUGGGUUUCCACGUUUUCCUCUGUGCACGAUCUCAAGGAUUUGCUUUUCACACGAGUAUGCGCACACUUGUGUUUGCACCGAAUGGCUGCCCACAGAGCUCAUUGGGCGUCUCCCACUUUGCAUUGGGGCCACGCAGUGACAGCGAUGGGCAGCUACUGAAAGAAACACAAAGAAAUGGGCAGUUACGGGCAACACGGUGAGGUUGGGAAGGAGUCCCCUGGCCCGAAAGAGUUGAAAGACCUUUUUGGAGAAAGCAUGAGCCAAGGCCAGGGCCUGGCUACAGAGGGAAUCAGGGGUCAAGUCCCAAUUUCCUGUUCAGGCCUGAGAAGUUUUUUCUAGAAGGCAUUUAAACAGGAGAUGCCACCAAAUUCCUUUUGAGACUAUGGGGUUGAAGGAGAAGAGGCGGGUGAUAGGAGGGUAUGUGGUAAAGAGGACUGUUUGUGGGGCCCAAGGGACAAGAGAGUGGGAACUGGCUCAGAAGGAAAGGGGCCUCCCCAGGGAAGGAAUGGGGUAUAAAAACAGGAUGGGGGACUAUGGUCUCCCCAGCUGUUUACACCUCCUGGUGUUUCAGGCUCUUCUGUGUUGAGCACACUCCUCACUCUAGGGGAGAGACAAAGACUUAAGCCCCAGGGCUGACCUUUACUGGCUGGGUGCCUGGGCAAGCACCUAUGUCAGUGGAGAAGUCUGCAGGCACAGAGCAAGAAUAACCCAGAAUAAACAUGGGGUGUUAGCAUUUA